rnacentral:rRNA from 1 species
CGGGCGGACGGGUGAGUAACGCGUAGGCAACCUGCCCCAUACAAAGGGAUAGCAUUUGGAAACGAAUAUUAAUACCUUAUGAAACUUAACUAGUGCAUGCUAGGUAGGUCAAAGAUUUAUCGGUAUGGGAUGGGCCUGCGUCUGAUUAGCUAGUUGGUGAGGUAACGGCUCACCAAGGCGACGAUCAGUAGCCGACCUGAGAGGGUGAACGGCCACAUUGGAACUGAGACACGGUCCAA